rnacentral:rRNA from 1 species
UGCGUAGGUGGUUCCUCAAGUCAGAAGUGAAAGGCAGUGGCUUAACCACUGUAAGCUUUUGAAACUGAGGAACUUGAGUGCAGGAGAGGUAAGUGGAAUUCCUAGUGUAGCGGUGAAAUGCGUAGAUAUUAGGAGGAACACCAGUGGCGAAGGCGACUUACUGGACUGUAACUGACACUGAGGCACGAAAGCGUGGGGAGCGAACA